AGCUGUUCCAGGCCUGGAGUGGCAGGCUGGAACUUCCAGAGGCUUGUAGACCUGAAGCAGUGUGAUGUGGUCCAGAUCUGACACCCCUAUUAGCUCAACCACAGUCUUCACAGCUGCAGUCGUCUGCCCCUGCAUCUGCUCCACCGGCCACAACAGGUGAUACAGAUCUGCCACCCCCAGCAGUUCAGCUGCAGUCACAGCAGUCCUCUGCUGUGGUAUUUAAUUUACCGGCUGCACCAGUUCCUACUACACUGGGCGUGAAGGGAGAAACUUUUGAGGAUACCCAGAUGG